rnacentral:rRNA from 1 species
AGAGUUUGAUCCUGGCUCAGGAUGAACGCUAGCGGCGGGCUUAAUACAUGCAAGUCGAGGGGUAGCAAUACACCGGCGCACGGGUGCGUAACGCGUAUGCAACCUACCUUUAUCUGGGGGAUAGCCCGGGGAAACCCGGAUUAAUACCGCAUAACAAAUUGCUUGGCAUCGAGUGAUUUUAAAAGAUUUAUCGGAUAGAGAUGGGCAUGCGUAAGAUUAGAUAGUUGGCGAGGUAACGGCUCACCAAGUCUACGAUCUUUAGGGGCUCUGAGAGGAGAAUCCCCCACACUGGCACUGAGAUACGGGCCAGACUCCUACGGGAGGCAGCAGUAGGGAAUAUUGGGCAAUGGACGCAAGUCUGACCCAGCCACGCCGCGUGCAGGAAGACGGCCCUCUGGGUUGUAAACUGCUUUUGACUGGGAAGAAAAGACUCCUUGCGAGGAGAGUUGACGG